GGGCGUGGAUGCUGGUCAAUGGCGCCCGCGCGGAGCCAGCCUUGCGGAAGCUGCUGGAGUACCCAACCUAUCACGAGGUGCCUGUUGGUGCCGGAAGUGGAGUCUUUUCUGUGGCUGCUGUGUCACCCUAUUAUCGUUUUAACUUGGAUAUUUUCUACACUGGCUAGGAAGAGUCAGCAUUCGGUUAUGAUAUUUUGAGUUCGGAAUUUGCCCUGGACUACCUGAUGAUCUGUCUUAGCUAUGACCACAACUUGACAAGACAAUGUGAAGAACAUGUAAAUCAGAAUAACGCUUGGACCCAGAUAUCUGGCCAUUCCCAAGACCUUGAAGGGACACUGGGUCACAUCCAGGGUUCGCUUCCUUCCACGCCCCGCUAUCGCCUUCCUUCGGAUUGGCUGAUCGAGGACAUCUCAAACUGUACUAGACGGCGAUUGGCUAUUGCCAGGCCAGGGGAGUCCGCGGACUCCGGAGGAGAAUGAGGUCGGGCGAAGGAGUCCAGGCAGCCAGUGUCUAAUUUCGGCAUAGUUCAACAUUUUAUCUGAAACCAAACUGAGGUAGUUAAGAGCCAUGGCCUUCUCUGUACCCUGUUGCCGUGAUCUGGGGGCUGUGAGAUCCAGAUGGUGAAGCUUCAAGAUGGAAUGGACUUGCAGAUCCACACCAUAAGUCUCCAGAUCAAGAAGAGCCACAUCUGGACCUGAUAAGAAAGACUAUCAUGAGAUCCUGAAUUUUGAAAUAAUGUCAUAAUUGAGUGACACUGUUAUCUUCCUUGGGAAGGGGCAAGUGUCCUUUAUAUGCAGAAGGGAAGUUAAUAUUUAUGCCCAAAAUAGCUAACUGUGGUAGACUGUGUUCUUUCCUGACUCUGAACCCCAGUACUCUCCUGCUAUAAGGAGAAAUAUACUUUCCUGCCUCAAUGAUGUUUGGCUUGGUUAAUGUGUACCUUUUUCAAGCAGAAACUCUGUGCUUGUAUAUAAUUUGACAUGGCUCUGUAAGCACCUGCCCUCUGCCAUGAGAAUGUAUUUCAGAUAGUGGCUAUUCCCUCAACUAAGUCCUAGAAUGAUCAAUGGAACUGCAGACCCAAGACAGAAAUAAAUGGUUGUUAUAA